CGGCGAACGGGUGAGCUAACGCGUGAGUCAACCUGCCUUAACUACGGGAUAGCCUCGGGAAACCGGGUAUUAUUACCGUAUGAGACCCCGCCUUCCCAUGAAGAAGUGGUUAAAGAUUUCUUGGUUUAAGAUGGGCUCGCGUCUGAUUAGCUAGUUGGUGAGAUAAAAGCCUACCAAGGCAACGAUCAGUAUUCGGUUUGAGAGAGUGAACGGUCACAUUGGAACUGAGACACGGUCCAAACUCCUACGGGAGGCAGCAGUGGGGAAUAUUGCACAAUGGGGGAAACCCUGAUGCAGCGACGCCGCGUGAGCGAUGAAGGAAUUCGUUUCGUAAAGCUCUGUCCUAGGGGAAGAUAAUGACAGUACCCUUGGAGGAAGCCCCGGCUAAAUACGUGCCAGCAGCCGCGGUAAUACGUAUGGGGCGAGCGUUGUCCGGAAUUAUUGGGCGUAAA
rnacentral:rRNA from 1 species